rnacentral:pre_miRNA from 1 species
GUAUAAUGCCAACCAUAGCCUCCAUUAUCACACUAUUUUGUUUGGUAUUUUACCAAACAAAAUGGUGUGAUAAUGAAGGCUAUGGUUGGCAUUAUUGC